UACGUAGGGUGCAAGCGUUAAUCGGAAUUACUGGGCGUAAAGCGUGCGCAGGCGGAUAUGUAAGUUAGAAGUGAAAUCCCCGGGCUCAACCUGGGAACUGCUUUUAAGACUGCGUAUCUAGAGUUUGUCAGAGGGGGGUGGAAUUCCAAGUGUAGCAGUGAAAUGCGUAGAGAUUUGGAGGAACACCAAUGGCGAAGGCAACCCCCUGGGAUAAAACUGACGCUCAGGCACGAAAGCGUGGGUAGCAAACAGG
rnacentral:rRNA from 1 species